UCCAUCCAUCUAUCCUUAGUUUCUGUGCUAGGUGCUAAGAAUGCAAAGAUUAAUAUGUCACGGUCCUUCACUUUUCUCAAUGCUCUUGCAGUAAAUGGACAAGGAAAUAAGCAGCAGACCCCAAGGAAAAUUACCUGCAGUGAAAAUCAUUAUUGGCAAAGGAGUGCUCCUCAGGCUUUUACUCAAACUAAAUUCCGUUACGUGCAUUCUGCAAACUGGCACAUAUUAUGGGCUGAGCACUCUGCUAGUAAGUUGUGAAAAAUAAUUUAAAUGGAAUGAAAUUG